CUGCUCACCCGUCUCCUGUACGGAAGCAUCGCAUGGUGAGUGGGCAGACGCAAGGUUCCGUAGCGGCUGCCGAGAUCAACGGGACUAAGCCUGCAGGUCGCCAUCGUCCGGCAGCCGGCGGGUCGAAAAUCAAAGGCCGAUAAGCAUGUAGAAAGCGGGGUUAUUCCCGGUUUGGACGCGGGUUCGACUCCCGCCAGCUCCACCU
rnacentral:tmRNA from 1 species